AGUGAACGCUGGCGGUAGGCCUAACACAUGCCAGUCGAACGGCAGCACAGUAAGAGCUUGCUCUUACGGGUGGCGAGUGGCGGACGGGUGAGGAAUGCAUCGGAAUCUACUUUUUCGUGGGGGAUAACGUAGGGAAACUUACGCUAAUACCGCAUACGACCUACGGGUGAAAGCAGGGGAUCUUCGGACCUUGCGCGAUUGAAUGAGCCGAUGUCGGAUUAGCUAGUUGGCGGGGUAAAGGCCCACCAAGGCGACGAUCCGUAGCUGGUCUGAGAGGAUGAUCAGCCACACUGGAACUGAGACACGGUCCAGACUCCUACGGGAGGCAGCAGUGGGGAAUAUUGGACAAUGGGCGCAAGCCUGAUCCAGCCAUACCGCGUGGGUGAAGAAGGCCUUCGGGUUGUAAAGCCCUUUUGUUGGGAAAGAAAAGCAGCAGGUUAAUACCCCGCUGUUCUGACGGUACCCAAAGAAUAAGCACCGGCUAACUUCGU
rnacentral:rRNA from 1 species